CUACAAUGGACGGUACAACGAGUCGCAAGCUCGCGAGAGUAAGCUAAUCUCUUAAAGCCGUUCUCAGUUCGGACUGUAGGCUGCAACUCGCCUACACGAAGUCGGAAUCGCUAGUAGUCGCGGAUCAGCAUGCCGCGGUGAAUACGUUCCCGGGCCUUGUACACACCGCCCGUCAAGCCAUGGAAGUCUGGGGGACCUGAAGACGGUAACCGCAAGGAGCCGUUAAGGGUAAAACAGGUAACUAGGGCUAAGUCGUAACAAGGUAAC
rnacentral:rRNA from 1 species